GGCCUAGGGAGCUGUUCCCUGACCUCCAUCAGUACCUGGGCCUUCGAGGCGUUGAGAGGGGCGUAGCUGCGGAAUCUCCCUGGUGGGGAACCCCACCGAACCCCGCGAUCCGGGCUUCUCUGCCUGCGCGCCCGGGGUGGAGUAUGGGCGCGCUUAUGCCCGGGAGGGGAUCGAGAGCGCAGCCGGGCUUCCUUUGGCCUUUUCUCAACUGCGGGUUUACUCGAAUCUCCCGCUUGCCGCUCCCUCGCCAUCUCUUCAUCCUUCAUCUUGAAGGCUUCUUC
rnacentral:lncRNA from 1 species